rnacentral:rRNA from 1 species
CCGUCUUCGGAGGCACCUGCACAGGUGCUGCAUGGCUGUCGUCAGCUCGUGUCGUGAGAUGUUGGGUUAAGUCCCGCAACGAGCGCAACCCUUAUCCCUAGUUGCCAUCAGGUAAAGCUGGGAACUCUGGGGAGACUGCCGGUGAUAAAACCGGAGGAAGGCGGGGAUGACGUCAAGUCCUCAUGGCCCUUACAUCCCGGGCUACACACGUGCUACAAUGGCAGGUACAGAGGGCUGCGAAGCCGCGAGGUGGAGCGAAUCCCAGAAAACCUGUCUCAGUCCGGAUUGAAGUCUGCAACUCGACUUCAUGAAGGCGGAAUCGCUAGUAACCGCGAAUCAGCAGGUCCGCGGUCGAAUACGUUCCCGGGCCUU